UACAGGGGGUGCAAACGUUGCUCGGAAUUAUUGGGCGUAAAGCGCGCGUAGGCGGCUACUUAAGUCGGAUGUGAAAGCCCUUGGCUCAACUGAGGAAGUGCACCCGAAACUGAGUGGCUUGAGUACUAAAGAGGGUCGCGGAAUUCCCGGUGUAGAGGUGAAAUUCGUAGAUAUUAGGAAGAACACCGGUGGCGAAAGCGACUCUCUGGACGGCAACUGACGCUGAGGCACGAAAGCGUGGGGAGCAAACAGG
rnacentral:rRNA from 1 species